rnacentral:rRNA from 1 species
AGGGAUGAAGGCCUUCGGGUCGUAAACCUCUUUCGUCCGGAAAAAAUGGUCCGCUGAAGAGGCGGGCCUGAUGGUACCGGUGGAAGAAGCCCCGGCUAACUACGUGC